GGGACGACUGGAGCCACUGCUCUGCUCAGCUCACAGGGAAACUGAGGCAAAGCAGAGGAGAAGCGGGGUGCUUGGGGUCCACUCCAGGACAUACAGGUCGCAGCUGUUUCCCCAAAUGCUGGGCCCUGUGGCCUCCCCUUUGGCUGUGGUGCAGCUUCACAAGCUUCCACUAAAACAGGUACAUCCCGACACGUGUGGUGGCGCACACCUGUAAUCGCAGCACUCAGGGAGGCUGAGGCAGGAGGAUCGCUG